rnacentral:tRNA from 1 species
GCACGCGUGGCGCCCAGCGGCAAAGGCACCUCGUUUACACCGAGGAGAUCGUAGUUCGACUCUUACCGCGUGCA